rnacentral:tRNA from 1 species
GCCUUCGUGGCAUAGUGGGCAGCACGCUCGGCGCGUAUUCGAGAGGUCCGUGGUUCGAGUCCCGGCGAGGGCA